GCCAGGCACGGUGGCGCAUACCUGUAAUCCCAGCGGCUCGGGAGGCUGAGGCAGGAGGAUCGCAAGUUCAAAGCCAGCCUCAGCAAAAGCCAGGCACUAAGCAACUCAGUGAGACCCUGUGUCUA
rnacentral:sRNA from 1 species